rnacentral:rRNA from 1 species
UACGUAGGGGGCAAGCGUUGUCCGGAUUUAUUGGGCGUAAAGAGCGUGUAGGCGGCUUUACAGGUCCGUUGUGAAAACUCGAGGCUCAACCUCGAGACGCCGGUGGAAACCGUAAAGCUAGAGUCCGGAAGAGGAGAGUGGAAUUCCUGGUGUAGCGGUGAAAUGCGCAGAUAUCAGGAGGAACACCGGUGGCGAAGGCGGGUCUCUGGGCAGUAACUGACGUGAGGAGCGAAAGCGUGGGGAGCGAACAGG